rnacentral:rRNA from 1 species
AUUGAACGCUGGCGGCAGGCCUAACACAUGCAAGUCGAGCGGAUGAGAGGAGCUUGCUCCUUGAUUUAGCGGCGGACGGGUGAGUAAUGCCUAGGAAUCUGCCUGGUAGUGGGGGAUAACGUUCCGAAAGGAACGCUAAUACCGCAUACGUCCUACGGGAGAAAGCAGGGGACCUUCGGGCCUUGCGCUAUCAGAUGAGCCUAGGUCGGAUUAGCUAGUUGGUGAGGUAAUGGCUCACCAAGGCGACGAUCCGUAACUGGUCUGAGAGGAUGAUCAGGCACACUGGAACUGCGACACGGUCCAGACUACUACGGGAGGCAGCAGUGGGGAAUAUUUGACAAUGGGCGAAAGCCUGAUCCAGCCAUGCCGCGUGUGUGAAGAAGGUCUUCGGAUUGUAAAGCACUUUAAGUUGGGAGGAAGGGCAUUAACCUAAUACGUUAGUGUUUUGACGUUACCGACAGAAUAAGCACCGGCUAACUUCGUGCCAGCCGCCGCCGUAACAC